GAAUGUUGGGAACCGAUCUGAUUCCAAGGAUUGAGAAGUUUUGCAGUGGUCAACUGGUAUAGACAUCCCAUUACCACUACUUCCUUCAUUGGACUGCAAGGUAUUUCUGUUUGGAAAAGUAAUGGAGUCCAGUCAACUUCAUUGAUCGCCAAGGACUGUCAAAAUUAUAAAACUUGCUGUGGAGCUCUGACAUGCCAGAAGCCGCUAGAAAAAGAAGUUUGACAUUCAGAAACUUAUCAAGAGGUUCUACUCUUUGGAUAGAGACCAAAAUCAUACUUUGAAAAAGCCUGACAGGUUUCUUCGGAAAAGUGGCCAUCCAUGGAAUGAAUGAAAUGUUCUCUUUCUAUUCCAGGGAUUGCAGUGGCAAAGCUAGGCUAGGUCUUGGAGGCUGGUGUAAGGCGAUGUGGGUGAAGGCAGGAGGCUGAUGGAAAGACUGGGGGGAAGAAAAGCCGAAAUGGAUUCACGGUGCCUUGGAUGAAGGACGAGAGGGGAACUGCAAGCUCCUUCAACUGGUUCUGUCCGGUGAGAAGUGAUCAAGCUUGGGCUGACAAGAGGCUCAGGGAGCCCUCACGUUCUUUCGCUUUUUUACCUGCCAAUCAAACUGCUACAAGACAACACCCUGAUCUGGCAUGGACAUCGCGGGUCCAAGCCUGUAGCCCCAAAUCGGAUAAUCUCUGCAGCUGAUAACAAGCAAAAGAGAAGCCAGGCAACAGCCAUAUUAAAGAAGAAAACAAUCAACUCUGAGAUCCAACUUAGAAAUAAUGUUUCAUUCAAGAUAAGGCUCGUGGCUUAGGAGAUUGUGACCUGGCUUGCAUCAUUCUAAGACUUCUAUCGUCUGUUUUCAAAACCCAAGGAGGACCUCCUUUUCUGUGUGAUAGUUCCUCAUGCUUUGCCAGCCACUGGGUCUUUAAGGAAGCUUGCCAAGAGUUCCCGGCUGGGAAGGACAGUUCGAGUUCAUCAUAGACAAUGAGCUGGCACCACAGUUUAAGUGACUCACCAACCUGGUUGCCCACUUCAAAAUGUCAAGAACCACACUAUCUAAUUGAAAGAACUGUGUUUUAGCAAAGUGUAAUUGGAUCGCCUGGCAAGAUCAUCUCAAACUAUGUCUCUGACCUUGCCUUUCAGUGGCUAUUUUGAGCACAAGAGGAGAAAGGAAAUGAUUCCUGAAUUAUAUCUUGUUUUUAAAAAUUAAGAUUAAUUAAUACUUGGUUUUAUGUUCAUUCCAUUGUAGGAACUUAGUGAUUAUUACAAAACAGUCAAAAUAGGUCAUAGCAAAAUGAACGUUUAAGAUUAGGUUAAAACAUUCCUCUGAAAUUUUAGUAUUCACUUUUGAAGUGUCAAUUACUAUAUUUCUGUAAUUUCUCAUUUUUUUCUUGGCUUAGAGUCAAGAUGAAAAAUGAUAUUUGAAUCAAAGACAUUGUUUUGUUAUAUAGCCACUCCUUUCUAAAAUGCAAAUCCACCCUCCCCUCACCAAUGCUUUAUUCUUUGUGCGCGCACACACACACACACACACACACACACACACACACACACACAGACAUACACAGAACCAGCACCCAAAUGGUAGAGGAGGUCCUUCCAAGACUUCUAGGACCUGGAUCAUGUAAGCAGUAGAUGAGAAAAUGAAGUAAGAGAUAUAGAGUAAUAACAAUAAAAGUCAAUGAUUUCAUUUUACAAAAAAGUCAUUGUGUAGUACUCAGAUAUUUUUAAGAGCAAGUAUUAUUAUGACUAAAGUAUAUUAUACUUCUAAAUUAUUAUGAUUCUCAUCUAAUUUCAAGCCACACAUAGGCGCCAUUUGAAAGCAUUUUGUGUUACAACCUAUCAACAAAAAUCAACUAAUAGUUUUAUAACGUGCAUAGGUUUACCCCAUGGGGAAUUAAAAUUUUUAUCUGCAAGUAUUUCUGUUGUUGUGAGACUUUAGGACAAGACAACAUUUGGUGUUAACAUAGAAGAAUAUUCUAUGGCUUUUUUAGCUUUAAAGUUCAUUACUCUAAAAUAAAGUACACGUGGUAUUUUUUUCUUCCUAGUGUUCUCUUAUUAUAUGUAGAGUAUUUUCGGUUGUUGUUUUUAACGUAUACAUUAUUUUUAUUAAGUCAUUUCAUAAAAGAUAAGAUAUAUACUAAUAGACCCUUGGUUUUCUCCUAAUUUAAUUAUUUCAAGUCAAGCAAAAUUGGGCAAUUUUCUUUCAGGAAAAAAAAAAUAUUGAGCAUGAUUUUGAGGUAAAACUGAUUAUUUACAGCAUCUUUUCUCUAAUAGGCUAACAUUUAUGAUGGAUCUUAUUUCAAAGUUGAUUAUUCUCAAAGAAAAGUGGAGAUAUUAGAAUUUCCGAGUAAAUUGCAUUGUUUUAAAAAGUACUUUAAUGCAUUGUUCACAUUGUUGCCAGCUAUUGACCAAAAAAGAGAAGAAGAAAAAAGAAAUAAAAAAAGCAGUAUCUGCUCCAAACGUCAAGUUUUGCAGUUUGAAAGACUUGUACAUUAUAAUUGUUUUUUUCUUUUUUGGAAAGCAGUAGUAAUUAAUACCAAAGGCAUAGACAAUUUAGGGCCAUAACCUCCCUUCCCCCCUCUCCACCUUUUUUUUUUUUUUUUUUUUUUUUUAACUUUAACCAUGAUAGGCAUCUCUGCAAGGUAGGUUUUAACAUAUUUUUUUCCUAAUUUUUUUCCCUCCAUUCAGUAAGAAGGAUAAGCUUUUAGAGUACCCAGUCACCGUGGUAACUGCCAAAAAAAUUCUCCUGAAGUUUGAAGAGGUCAGCUAGCAGGGUCAACAACCCUGGCCUCUCUCUGAGCUCGGUCUAGCAUGCCCCAGCCUGCGGUUGGAGUGUCAGGCCAGAUCUGACCCUGGGAGGUGGACCAUUCUGGCUCUGAUAUAAAUUUUUCGAGUCAGUUCAUGGCCUGGACUCUCCAGGUGGCCUCCAAAAUCGAUUUUGACCCCCUGACCCUGUCUCACGGAGGCAUAGCAUCCACCCUAAGUAAGGAUUUAGCCAGGAAUGACAGCUUUCCACUGAGUGUUAUUGGGGACAGUAUAAACAGUUUGGAAAGCAAGUAAGGAGGUGUGAGGGCUAGCAAUCAUUAAAAGCACAUUAAAAAACAAUUUUUAAAAAUCUUUAUUAGAGAAAGUUGUAAAUGCAUAUCUGUUACAGAAUUCCUGUGAUUUGUAGAGUUUUCUAGUCAGUUUUGAAUAUAAAUAGGUCACAUAUCUUUAUCUUUUUGCAUACUUUGUUACAAAUAUGCAAAUAAGAUAGGCAUACUUGCUACAAAAUAGGUACAGCAGGAAUGUAAUAUGUUCAGAAAAGGCAAACUGGUUAUUAAAACACAUUAACAGGUAAGGAGUUUCUAAUAUUUUAAAUACUAAAAUUUUACAUGUGUAUUUUGAAGUUUUUAAAAUGGAAAAAUAAAGAACCUUUAAAAAACCCAACAGUGUGGAAUAAAGAUAAACUUGUUGCACUCAAGGUACAUUUCUACUUUGUAAAGCAAGAAGCCAAUACACUCAGUUGGAUAAAAAUGAGAGAAAAAUUGUAAAUAUAGAGAGUUACAGCUUAUAGAGCUGAAGAGGAAUAAAACAAAAAAAAGUGUCUCUGAAUAACUUUAUGUAUUUUCAACAGUUUAAGAUAUCAGAAACUUGGAAAAUAAAUAUGAUAUAUAUAUAAAUCAUCA
rnacentral:lncRNA from 1 species